AUACGGAGGGUGCAAGCGUUAUCCGGAUUCAUUGGGUUUAAAGGUUGCGCAGGCGGAAUGAUAAGUCAGUGGAGAAAUCCUACAGCUUAACUGUAGAACUGCCAUUGAUACUGUCAUUCUUGAGUACACUUGAAGUGGGCGGAAUGUAUCAUGUAGCGGUGAAAUGCAUAGAUAUGAUACAGAACUCCGAUAGCGAAGGCAGCUCACUAAAUUGUAACUGACGCUCAGGCACGAAAGCGUGGGGAGCAAACAGGAUUAGAAACCCUAGUAGUCC
rnacentral:rRNA from 1 species